CGCACCUUGCGCUCCUUGGUAUUCCGAGGAGCAUGCCUGUCUGAGUGUCAUGAAAUCUUCAACCUAUAAACCUUUGCGGGUCUGUAGGCUUGGACUUGGAGGCUUGUCGGCUUAACGGUCGGCUCCUCUUAAAUGCAUUAGCUUGAUUCCUUGCGGAUCGGCUCUCGGUGUGAUAAUUGUCUACGCCGCGACCGUGAAGCGUUUGGCGAGCUUCUAAUCGUCUCUUAUGAGACAACACAUUGACCUCUGACCUCAAAUCAGGUAGGACUACCCGCUGAACUUAA
rnacentral:misc_RNA from 1 species